GUGGAUUAGAUACCCGGGUAGUCCUAGCCGUAAACGGUGCACGUUUGCUGUAAAAGGAAUCGACCCCUUUUGUGGCGUAGCCAACGCGUUAAACGUGCCGCCUGGGAAGUACGGUCGCAAGAUUAAAACUCAAAGAAAUUGACGGGGGCCUGCACAAGCGGUGGAGUAUGUGGCUCAAUUCGAUGCAACGCGAAGAACCUUACCUGGCCUUGACAUGCAUAUAGUAGAAGGGUGAAAGCCUGACGAGGUAGCAAUACCAGUAUGCACAGGUGCUGCACGGCCGUCGACAACU
rnacentral:rRNA from 1 species